rnacentral:lncRNA from 1 species
CAGGUGGCCACCCGGGCAAGUUUCAGUGAGGAAGGAGGCUGACAGUGGACGUCUCUGAGCCCCCUCACCAGGGGCUGUGCCCAAGGGCUCAGUCUGGUCUCUGCGCCCCCACCUCUGGGAGCCUCGUUGCCCCUCCUCCUCUCCCCGGGCGUAUGAUGCUGUGAUGCGUGUUCUCAGGAAGUAGCCAGCGCUCUGGGCCCAGACCCAUCCUUCCAAGGGAGCGCCAGGGUCCAUCUGGUCCAGUGUGGCCCCCACGGCAUCUUCGGCCUUGUCAUCUCCAGCAUGGCCAUGCUUGGCUCCCUCCUUGGACCACCUGUGUCCAGCUCCCGGCUGCAAAGGCGUCGCUGGACUGCAGGCCCGGCAUACCCUGUCCCCCAGGCCCCCAGCAUCCCUCCCCACAUUCCAAACCCAGUGAUCUGCUUGAUAGAAGAGGACGUGAUUCUUUUCCAGCUUCAGAUUCACCCUGACAGUGAGUCUGCCCCUCGGCCCCGCCCUCCCGCUCUGGCUCCCUCAUCCCUCCCUAUCCGUCUGCCUGGUGACAUCACGUACAGACCGUGCCUUCGAAGUCGUGGGGCACAGGCUGGUGCUGUCCCCUGCUCUCGGCCUGUUCGGUCACUUCCCUGGGGGCCUUCAUUCCAUAUCUUGAGCAGAUGUUUCAGCUCCAGCAUUCUGAGACUCCUCCUGCAGCCCGUGGAGGUGUCAGACUUCUGUGCCUUGGGGGGAAUGGAUUUUGAGGAGAAAAAACAUGGGGCAGAGAGGUAUGGAAUAGAAAAUAAAUAUAAAUGUAACCUGUGUGGCUGUCUUAUAACCAUGGCAGAUUAGUACAGAGAAUGCCCUGUACGGAACAACACACUGAAGGCUCCAGAUCGAGGUCCUCCCUUUGGGGAGGCUGAGGCUUCAGUCUCUGGCAUUUGGAAUGUAGGCAGCAUCCUUGCUUUUGGCCAGAUCGCCGGGUGUGUGGCACAGCCUGUGCUUUUCAGAUUUACACAGAAUGGCCACUUGGCCCAGGUAGAAGUCAAUGAAGUGUUUCGUUCCACGUGUCACGUAACCACUGAUGUACCUCCCCGAGACGCGUGCCAAGGCAAUGAGUGUCAAAGAGGGGAACACUCCCUGGAAAGUGAGCUCCACACUGGACAUGUGUGCCCUGGUUUCUAGGCCCAGCUCUUCCACAAACCGCUGGGAACUGGGGUAACCUCCACCCUCUCUUCACCUUGAUAUUUACCUCUGCCAGUGAACCCAUUUGCGUUCCCCCUUCUCCCCACUGUGAGGGAGGUAAGAUCAGAGCCCCAUCAUGAGGGGCUGGGGGGCUCAGGAAGAAGAACUAACACCUGCACACAGGUAAGGCCUCCUUGUGCAGUGGGAACAACCAGGUGGCGCCUGCCUGUAUGGCAGCCCCAUCCACCUCCUUAGCUGCUCAUUCUCUCAGCCAUCCCAUAGCAUUUAUUGAAUACCUGCUGCAUGUCCAUACUGUGCUGCCUUCCAGGGGUGCACAGUUGAACACGUCCCUGUUCUGAGAGUCCCAGGGCAUCAGGCUGGCCUCACCCACAGAGGGGCGUCAGGCCUGGUGCCCCCUGCUCAGAGUGUGCCCUCUCUGUGGGCAGAGGGAAGAAGAGUCUUGCCUGGCAGCAUGAUUACUAAGGGCACGUUACAUACAUGAGAGGGGAACUGUGUCUCAGCCACUCACUCUUGUGAGCACAGGAUGCUGAGCUCCCCAGAUGUGGGCUGCCCCAGGCUGGGGCUGGGGAGGCCUCUGGGACCCAGCCCAGCCCCGGCUCGCUCCCCAGAUCGCCCAGCCAGUCACUACCCCGUGUACCAGAAGCAGCACCUGUUCAACAGCAACCCCCACUGGGACUUCGGGGCCUUCAGGAGGCUCAGCCACCUAGUGCGAGAGACUCAAGUCAACUUCUCCAGGUUUGUCCACCAGUUCUUAGAUCCGGGCACAUACGUGUUUCGAGACAACGCACUUCCCGAGAGCGUUGUGGUGGUGUCGGUGAAGGAGAAGGGGAUAGCCUGCGGCCCUGGCCUGUCCUCUGUGCAGCCCUCCUCCCCGUACCAGCUCUCCAGGCAUGGCAUCGUCAGGCACAGGCUGCCAACCCUGGGCCCAGACUGGGCCGUGAUCACAGGGGUGCUGCUGGCUGUCGGCUUGGCAACUGCGCUGCUGACAGGCCUGGGCCUUGUGCUGAGCCCCCCGCUGGCCCAGACCUGCCCAGUCAGAGCUUGGAGACUCCGGGGGAGGGGCCUCAGGGAGCCUCACGUGCCUGCUGACUGCGUGCCUCUCGGGGACAGCCUUACCGUCCGUGAAGACCUCGGUCCUCAGGGCUCUGGGGAAGGAGCCAGCUGCAGGCAGAGAGCCGUUCCCCGGGACACAGGGGAGCCACACCCUGUGAACACCCUAGAGGACUUCAGCGUCCGCACACUCUAUGACAAGCUUGAGGACCAGAGCCUGCACUUGGUGGCCCAGCUGAGCAAGCACAGGAGCGACGCACUGGCCUUCUACAGGGGCGCCAGCCAGCAACUCCAGGGGCUCAAGGACUUUCUGCAGGGCGUCAGCAUGACCGAGCGGCAAGAUCUGGGCAGAGGUGGAGACCUGGAGAUGGGAGCCAAAGCCACUGCCAGGACAGACACUGGGCAGAGAGAGGAAUGGUGCAGUGGUCACACUGCAGCUUCUCCAAGGGUGCGCUGGCAGCAUCCUCUAGGCGGCACCCCCAGCAUGUCUCCACUGGGCUUUCAGUCGAAGCUCGACAGAAUGAUUGCGGCCCUGGCAUCUGCACUUUCUCACGCACGUGGGCAACCAGCCAGGGCCCACAGGAAGGCCUCCGCUCAGGGGGGUGAACAGCCUCUUCCCUCCUGUCAACAAGACCCUCAACUGGUGAGUGACACGCUCCUGAAGCCCCGGCCUCAGCCCUCGGAUGAGGAGCAUCAAAGUGCAAGCCCCCAGAAGACCCCAGGACCUGGACGGCUCCGUCAGGGUGAUGCCAAAGGAGGGGACACUGAGAGCCCAGUUUCCGGACACAGGCACGGAGCCUUUCCUGAGCUGCAGAGAAAGAUAUGGCAGGUGGAAGACAUCUUGGACGAACUGAAUAAAGAGUUCUUCCAGCUCACUGCUCAAGCCCUAGAGCUCCAGAAAGAAGAGCACCAGCCAGACCACCUGCCCCCAAGGAAACACAGUACAUUUGCGGUGGUUCCCAGCAUCUUCCCUCAUGCAGAGCAGGAAGACAGACCUAACCCAGCAGAGGCAGGCGGCCCAGACAGAAAGAGUGUGGGAACCUGGGCCCUGAAGAGCGAGCAGGCCCUGAUCCUGGCGGUGAGGAGAGCCUGCCUGGCUCAGAGGAUCGAAGGCCUGGACUGGGAGCUGUCCCUGCUCCUCCAGGUGGCAGAGGGCAGCACGUGUGCAGGAUGGAGCCAGCCCAGCCUGGGGAGACGCUGAGUCACCCAGGGUGCUGCGGCGGUCAUCUGUGGCAGUGCCUUCUCCACAAAGAACAUGGCCAGGUUACUCUGCGCACUCCAGGCAGGAAGACGUGGGCGUCGCAGGGGCCGCCCUGGCUGGGAAUGUGAGCUCGGUUAUGGCAUGCUCCUAUCUGGUAACACCCAGGUUUCUUUCAGAGCCUGGACCUCGGCUUGUGCUGAUUGCUAUCUGUGAUCCUUUGGGGUGAGGGAAAAUAAAGUCACACAGGUUGAGAAUAUCAACGUGUGUUCCCAUCGCUGAGUCCAUCCCUCAAUCCUCUCAU